UCCCAGAGCCUUAUGUGUGUGGUUGUGGU
rnacentral:piRNA from 1 species